AACGCACCUUGCGCUCCUUGGUAUUCCGAGGAGCAUGCCUGUUUGAGUGUCUUGAAGUCAUCAACCCCUUCCGUUUCGUGCGGACUGGGUUGGAGCUGGGGGCUCUGCUGCCGUGAGGUGGCUCCCCUCAAAUGCAUCGGUUGGGCCUGUGGGUCGAACUCGACUGGGCGUUGUACCAUCCUCGCUCGACAGAGACGUUCCCCUUCUGUUGCCCUCCCACGACCUGCCCAUCAGGAGAGGCGGUCAAGCUAUACUUUGAAAUCUGACCUCAAAUCAGGUAGGACUACCCGCUGAACUUAA
rnacentral:misc_RNA from 1 species